AAAAUGGGGACCCUCAAAGAGCAGUGACAUGCCCAAGUUCCUGCAGCCAGUGACCAUUCAAGGCUGAAGCACACUGAGGGUUCUUCUCAUCCAGUCUCCUCUCAAUAUCAACUAGCACCAACUGCAAUCAGCCAGUGUGCCCAUUCUUGUCUUUUUCCUCUCUUGGAGCAGUGUGUCUGCCAGAAUGGAUGGACUGAUUUCCUGGAUGAACAAAGAAUCACUUCAGAAUUGACACUUCAGGGAAAACAGCCAUGUUCCAGCAAGAAGGCCAGCUAAGCUCUCCUGUAGCAAAAAGGAAUUCAGAUGUUGCCCUCAAUGAAGAUAAAUUAUAGAUGGGAGAAUUAACGCUACUCAGGAUGCUGCUGGACGAGCCAACAGAUACUAAUUUGUUAAAAACAGCAAUUACAACCAAAAUUAAGGCUGGAGUCAAAGGAGUCACCAUCCCCCCGCACUUAGGGAGUCAGGGUUUCCUGUAGCACCAUACUUCAAGG